rnacentral:rRNA from 1 species
AUUGAACGCUGGCGGCAGGCCUAACACAUGCAAGUCGAACGAGUGGCGGACGGGUGAGUAAUGUCUGGGAAACUGCCCGAUGGAGGGGGAUAACUACUGGAAACGGUAGCUAAUACCGCAUACCAUCGGAUGUGCCCAGAUGGGAUUAGCUAGUAGGUGGGGUAAAGGAUCACCUAGGCGACGAUCCCUAGCUGGUCUGAGAGGAGGACCAGCCACACAGGAACUGAGAUACGGUCCAGACCAAUACGGGAGGCAGCAGUGGGGAAAAUUGCACAAUGGGCGGAAGCCUGAUGCAGCCCUGCCGCGUGUAUGAAGAAGGCCUUCGGGUUGGAAAGUACUUUCAGCGGGGAGGCGUUACCCGAAGAAGAAGCACCGGCUAACUCCGUGCCAGCAGCCGCGGUAAUAC